rnacentral:rRNA from 1 species
UACGUAGGGCGCAAGCGUUGUCCGGAAUUAUUGGGCGUAAAGAGCUCGUAGGUGGCUUGUCACGUCGGGUGUGAAAGCUUGGGGCUUAACUCCAGGUCUGCAUUCGAUACGGGCUGGCUAGAGGUAGGUAGGGGAGAACGGAAUUCCUGGUGUAGCGGUGAAAUGCGCAGAUAUCAGGAGGAACACCGGUGGUGUAAACGGCUUUCUGGACCGUAACUGACGCUGAGGCACGAAAGCGUGGGGAGCAAACAGG